UACGUAGGGGGCAAGCGUUAUCCGGAUUUACUGGGUGUAAAGGGAGCGUAGACGGAACGGCAAGUCUGAGGUGAAAUCAUAGGGCUCAACCCUGUAACUGCCUUGGAAACUGUCGAACUGGAGUACCGGAGGGGCAAGCGGAAUUCCUGGUGUAGCGGUGAAAUGCGUAGAUAUCAGGAAGAACACCGGUGGCGAAGGCGGCUUGCUGGACGGUAACUGACGUUGAUGCUCGAAAGCGUGGGGAGCAAAC
rnacentral:rRNA from 1 species